rnacentral:misc_RNA from 1 species
UGGGUAUGUACAAAGAUGAUAACGUUUCCAAUUGAUUGCAACAAUGAUUCUAUGUAAGAUUGUAAAGGAAAUGUAUGCAAGAUUGUAAAGGAAAUGCACACAAACAUUAAAUUUUAAUUUGUCACAGAUAAGAAAGUAAAAAAUGCAAUGCUCAAUGAUAAUUGAAUUUCUGAAAAUGAAAAAGAUCGCACAAACUAAUCCAUGCAGAAUGGUUGUCAACCUUUACAGGCUCAAUUUAUGAUCUUGAUUUUAUUUAUUAAAAGUACCAGAAGGAACAAAAAAAAUAACAAUAAUAAUGUAAAAAAAAUUAAUAGCUUCUUAUGCAAAAAAGACAAGUCAGUAAAGACAGAUUAAGACUGGAAAUGAAAUCAAAAUAAGCGAUGCAAAGUAUAAAAAAUGUGAACCUAGUAAAGAAUCUAAAGAGUUAGUGCAAACUUCAAUGACUCCAAAGCUGCUAAAACAUUAACCCAAGAGUCCAACACAACCAAAGUAGAAGAAAUUGAAUGCUAUAAAUCAGUUUCUAAAGAAAGCAACCAAAAAAAAAAAACCCUAAAUAUUUAAAUGUAAAACGC